GACGAACGCUGGCGGCGUGCCUAACACAUGCAAGUCAACUUGACUGAAGGAGCAAUCUGACAGUAGAGUGGCGCAAGGGUGCGUAACGCGUAAGUAACUUGCCCCAAGGUAAGGAAUAACGUCGAGAAAUCGGCGCUAAUACCUCAUAAUGCAGCGGAUCCGCAUGGAUAUGUUGUUAAAGGUUUACCGCCUUGGGAUAGGCUUGCGUCUGAUUAGCUAGUUGGUGUGGUAACGGCACACCAAGGCUACGAUCAGUAACUGGUCUGAGAGGAUGAUCAGUCACACUGGAACUGAGACACGGUCCAGACUCCUACGGGAGGCAGCAGUGAGGAAUAUUGGGCAAUGCUCGAAAGAGUGACCCAGCAACGCCGCGUGGAGGAUGAAGGUAUUCUAUAUCGUAAACUCCUGUGAGAGCAGACGAAGACAGAUAUAAUCUGGAUGACUGUAUGCUCAGAGGAAAGCCCCGGCUAACUACG
rnacentral:rRNA from 1 species